GGCAACUUCACUCAUGUCUUUGGCGUUGAGGAUCAGCAGGUAGGCAGGCUUGGGCCCUGCGCCAGGGCUGAUGACUAUGCUCAGCACAACCCCUAGUCGGCAAGAAAAGGAACAGUUCUGUCCCAGGUAUGUGUCAUUCCUUAUCCUUCACUUACAUCACAGCACUGGGCCCUAGUAAAUCUCAAUUAUUUUUCCCCUUUCAUAGUUAUUUUAAAUUCUUGCUGUCAUUCUGCUUCCCAGCCAGGGGUACUGUGGCAGUAUCGCUCCUAAAUAGUUUCCUUCUAGAACUGUGAACUAUGAAAAGCUAUUGCAAGGGCCUCUGACAAAUGCCACUUAGUGGAAUUUCUAUCAAAUUUGUCAACAUUAAAAGUUGGAGGAAAAAAAGGAGUGGUUUGGCUUAUAAUUCUGCUUCUCAGGUGACAAGAUUCUUGUUUCUGGAUCCUGGCCCUUUCAUAAGGAAUGGGUGGAACAUUCUAGCUCUUAGGGUUUUUGUUCCUUUGUGUACUCUUUUGGUCAGUCAUUGAAGGAAAACAAGAGAGAGGAUCUCUCUGCUACUGUCUCCUGUGGCUUCUGUCAGCCCCGUUCACUAGUUUGUAUUCUGUCUCAGUCACGUGGCUAGAUCUGCUACUGAUGUCCUAAGCUGGAGCUAAGAGCUGACUAAACAUACAAAAUAACCCAUGACAGCCAUCAGCCAUACUGCCUUGGGGAAGAGCACAGAAAUGUGAGCAUGGAACCUGGUUAAUUUAGAUUCAGGAAAGUGCAUGUGCAGGGACUCGAGUCCUAUGAAGUGAAAAAGAUAAAAAGGACUUAAGCAUAUUCCUAAAGUGCUUGUUCUAUCUUCAUUUAAAAGAAAGCUUCCAAGAACAUACUUAAAUCUUUUUUUUGCUUGUGAAGGUCCCCAUGACGUUCUUUCCUCAACUGGAGUAGGGACAGAGCAUACGAGAUUAUGGCUCCAUAUAAACCUGGAAGUUUGCUCUCAACUUCAGCAUAGCCAAGCUUUCUCCUAGCGUCAUGUAAUCCAGCUCAGAAAUGAGGAAGUGGACACCCUUUCAGUCUAAAGGCUCCAGCUCACCUUCAGAAAUAGGACAUGAUUUUCUACAGUUCAUUCAGAAGUUGGAUUAACUGACCUGCUUGAAGUGGAGGAAUCCGUAUAAUAUUAUAGACUCAGCAGAGGAUGCCCAACCCCGAAAAGUCUAGAGAUUCCACAUCCAGUCUGUGCUUCCUCUACUCCAGAGUACGGCAGAUCCACAUUUCAGCCACGCGCUCCAGGACCUCCAGCACCUCUGUGAGCUGGUGACCCACGUGCUUUGAGAAUAAAAGCUGGGCCCGGAAAGAACGUGAAAGGAGAUUAGUGCGACCAUACAAACCUGUGACAUGAGCAGUUACCGGAGAGGACAACUCCUCCACAGUCUCAAAGAGCUUCUUGUACCCUCCAGCAGGGUGUUCAA